rnacentral:rRNA from 1 species
UGGACGAAAGUCUGACGGAGCACGCCGCGUGAGUGACGAAGGCCUUCGGGUCGUAAAGCUCUGUUGUUAGGGAAGAACAAGUACCGUUCGAAUAGGGCGGUACCUUGACGGUACCUAACCAGAAAGCCACGGCUAACUACGUGCCAGCAGCCGCGGUAAUACGUAGGUGGCAAGCGUUGUCCGGAAUUAUUGGGCGUAAAGCGCGCGCAGGCGGUCUCUUAAGUCUGAUGUGAAAGCCCACGGCUCAACCGUGGAGGGCCAUUGGAAACUGGGGGACUUGAGUGCAGAAGAGGAGAGUGGAAUUCCACGUGUAGCGGUGAAAUGCGUAGAUAUGUGGAGGAACACCAGUGGCGAAGGCGGCUCUCUGGUCUGUAACUGACGCUGAGGCGCGAAAGCGUGGGGAGCAAACAGGAUUAGAUACCCUGGUAGUCCACGCCGUAAACGAUGAGUGCUAGGUGUUGGGGGGUUCCACCCUCAGUGCUGAAGUUAACACAUUUAAGCACUCCGCCUGGGGAGUACGACCCGCAAGGUUGAAACUCAAAGGAAUUGACGGGGGCCCGCACAAGCAGUGGAGCAUGUGGUUUAAUUCGAAGCAACGCGAAGAACCUUACCAGGUCUUGACAUCCUCUGCCACUCCUAGAGAUAGGACGUUCCCCUUCGGGGGACAGAGUGACAGGUGGUGCAUGGUUGUCGUCAGCUCGUGUCGUGAGAUGUUGGGUUAAGUCCCGCAACGAGCGCAACCCUUGAUCUUAGUUGCCAGCAUUCAGUUGGGCACUCUAAGGUGACUGCCGGUGACAAACCGGAGGAAGGUGGGGACGACGUCAAAUCAUCAUGCCCCUUAUGACCUGGGCUACACACGUGCUACAAUGGACGGUACAAAGGGCUGCGACACCGCGAGGUGAAGCGAAUCCCAUAAAGCCGUUCUCAGUUCGGAUUGUAGGCUGCAACUCGCCUACAUGAAGCCGGAAUGCUAGUAAUUCGCGGA